rnacentral:rRNA from 1 species
GGAACAAGCUGUUAAGAGCAUAUGGUGGAUGCCUUGGUGCUAACAGGCGAUGAAGGACGUGAUAAGCUGCGAUAAGCUUCGGAUAGCGGCAAAUACGCUUUGACCCGGAGAUUUCCGAAUGGGGUAACCUGGCUGGGGUAAUACUCAGUCGUCUCACUCUGAAUAAAUAGGAGUGAGUUCGCGAUACCUGGUGAAGUGAAACAUCUCAGUAACCGGAGGAAAAGAAAGAGAAUCGAUUCCGUAAGUAGUGGCGAGCGAAAGCGGAUCAGCCCAAACCGAGGGCUUUGCUCUCGGGGUUGUAGGACUCCAAUGUGAGACUGACAAUAUUAGAUUAAGCGUGUGGAAAAGCGCUCCAUAGAAGGUGAAAGGCCUGUGAUCGAAAAUUGCGUCAGCUCUAGGAUGUUCCUGAGUAGUGCGGCACACGUGAAACGCUGCAUGAAUCUGCGGAGACCACUCCGUAAGGCUAAAUACUCGUUAGCGACCGAUAGUGAACCAGUACCGUGAGGGAAAGGUGAAAAGUACCGCUGUGAGCGGAGUGAAAUAGAACCUGAAACCAUAUGCUUACAAGGUGUCAAAGCCUCUUCGGAGGUGAUGGCGUGCCUUUUGCUUAAUGAGUCUGCGAGUUAGUGUUCGUAGCAAGCUUAAGUCCUUCUGGGACGCAGGCGUAGCGAAAGCGAGUCCGAAUAGGGCGAUUUAGUUGCGGAUGCUAGACCCGAAGCGGAGGUGACCUACCUAUGGCCAGGUUGAAGCGCGAGUAAUAUCGCGUGGAGGACCGAACCGGUGUGUGUUGAAAAACGCUCGGAUGAGCUGUGGGUAGGAGUGAAAGGCUAAUCAAACCCCGUGAUAGCUGGUUCUCCUCGAAAUGUAUUUAGGUACAGCGUCGCACGCUGACUGAUGGGGGUAGAGCACUGAAUGAACUAGGGCCCACACCCGGGUACCGACUUCAAUCAAACUCCGAAUACCAUCAGGUGUAGUGCGGCAGUGAGAAUAUGGGGGAUAAACUUCAUACUCGAAAGGGAAACAGCCCAGAUCAGCAGCUAAGGUGCCUAAAUACCACUAAGUGGAAAGGAGGUGGGAUUACUUAGACAGUGAGGAUGUUGGCUUAGAAGCAGCCACCAUUUAAAAAGUGCGUAAUAGCUUACUCAUCGAGUGAUCCUGCGCCUAAAAUGAUUGGCGAUAAGUGGUAUACCGAAGCUCUGGAUGCGUGUUUACACGCGUGGUAGAGGAGCGUUCUCAGAGCCUUGAAGCCGGAUGGCGAUUGAAGGUGGAGUUCUGAGAAGUGAGAAUGCAGACAUGAGUAACGAUAAGAGAGGUGAAAUUCCUCUCCGCCGUAAACCCGAGGUUUCCUGGGCAACGUUCGUCGUCCCAGGGUUAGUCGGGACCUAAGCCGAGGCCGAUAGGCGUAGGCGAUGGAUAGCAGGUUAAUAUUCCUGCACCUCCUGAACCCAAAGCAUCAGGGACACAGGCUGGAAAGAUACUAGGUAAUUGAAUUCCGAGGUGCGGCUACGGCCAAUCCGUAUAUCUGGAAGGACUGUCAAGAAAAGCUGAUGUGUUGUGCUAAAGGAGCCCGUACCGUAAACCGACACAGGUGGGUGGGUAGAAUAUACCAAGGCGCAAGAGUGAAACCUGGUUAAGGAACUCGGCAAAAUAGCCCCGUAACUUCGGAAUAAGGGGUGCCCUCUUCGGAGGGCCGCAGUGAAAGGGGUCAACCGACUGUUUAGCAAAAACACAGCAUUCUGCGAAGACGCAAGUCGAAGUAUAGGAUGUGACACGUGACCAAUGCCGAAAGAUUAAGGUGAGUUGUUAGCUUCGGCGAAGCUCCGAACCCAAGUCCCGGUGAAUGUCGGCCGUAACUAUAACGGUCCUAAGGUAGCGAAAUUCCUUGUCGGGUAAGUUCCGACCUGCACGA